GGCAGGCAGGCAGGCAGGCAGCAGAGACGGGAGCGCCGAUGCAACCGGAGGAAGCCGGCACGUCCCGGACUCCCCCCCACAGGAACUCAAUGAUGCCUCGUUGUCUAACAGCGACUUUGCGGUGUUUGAACACAAGAGGGGGGCCUCGUGUUCCCACGGGGGGGGGGGGGGGGGGUCCCUGAAUUUGAAAACAAUCCAUAGCAGAGUUUGCACAGGUUGUUGGUUGGGAACGUAAAAAAUGCACACGCUUGUCACAAUCAACACAGGUGUGUGCGUGAGCGAGCAGGAAGAAGUAGCUGAAUGUUUUGAGGGAGGGGCUCAUUUGUUGUAUUUCAAGUUCAGCCAGAGUUCCCACGCUGUUAUUUUCUGCCCCUCCACUCUUUGUUCUGGCGCCUCAUCACAUAUCGUGAUUAGUCGGGCUGCCCUUUGAAGGUGAGGUACACCCCCUUCGGCCUCAGCCUCCCCCUCCCCAUGCGUCUGUCUGCAAAUCAGGCCACCAACCCAAAUUGCACUCCAGACAAUAGCGGUUUCUGAGACGUUUGGGCGUCUGGAUCUAAUCUUGGCCUUUUUAUUUUGUAUGCUUCAAGGCGACCUGAGACACGUGAUGAGCUUUGAUUUUGAAAGGUCAUCAGGUUCCACUUUGAAGGGGUAACAAACGUCCAUAUUCAAUAAAACAGGCUUACUCAAAGGCAACUACAUAUUUCCACAAAAAAACAUCCCAACUUUCAAUCUUGAGCAAAAAGCGACGAGGAUGACGGAUGACGAGUGAUGCCGAUGACUGACCUUCAGGAAGUCGCCCUAACCUUAAAAACGGCGAAUGCUAAUUGAAGCGUCUGAGAGGCGAGCACUGACGUUUUCCUGUCGUUUCGCCAGAGGAAAUACGACGUCUGACACUGAGUUUGUGCAACUGGUUUCUGUGACGACAGCCCCUUUCACACAUCUUACCGCCCAUAUUGCUAUCCUGGAGACGCUUGAUUAUUCGUCAAAGGCAAGCGAGCAUUUUUAUGGCUUCGAAGGUAUAUACCAGUGGUGGCCAACCCGCGGCUCGCGAGCCGCAUGCGGAUCUUUGGCUGGUUUCAUGCGUUUUUUUUACGUUCAUAUCAACAUUUGUGUUUAUUUUUCGUGCGUAUUUGCUUUGCUUGAGUUCAAUAUGGUAUUUUGGUCAAACGCGCGUGAGGUGUAAUCCCACAAAGUAGGAGGGACAAACCCAUUUGAGGAGUGCCAAUUUCGCUCUCAAAAUGGCAAGGAAAAAAUGCACAGCUAAACGAAUAUAUGACGAUGAACACAGGGCAGAGCGAUUGGUUUUGCUGGCUUUUUAAUGAAUGGCGACUGUGACUACGGGGGCCCAUUAAGCGUCUUUGGGUUCUUGAAAAGCGCUAUACAAAUAUAAUGAAUUAUUAUUAUUAUUAUUAUUAGGUCCAGAAAAGCUGACAAGACGCUAAGCCAGGGGUGGUCAAUAGGGGUGUAACGAUUCAUCGAUACACAUCGAUUAAUCGAUAUAAUGCUCUACGAUUUAUUGGCAUUAGGGGUGUAAAUCGCGGGUUUUGUCACGAUACGAUAUAAUAUCGAUACAAAGAACUACGAUACGAUAUUUGCCGAUAUCUUAAAGCCUGCUGCGAUUCAUUCACGAUAUAUCGCGAUAUAGUGCUCUACGAUCGAUUUUUUUUUUUUUUUUUAAUAAAAAAUAUAGAACAAUAUCCUGAUUUGUAACAAUUCAUACGCAAAUCAACAAGGUACUGCAAACUCUUUAUUUAGGAAAUUACAAGAGUAUUGCAGUAUACAAAGUGCUUAUUUUAACACUGAAUUUUGAUGUCGUGUUUUUUCUUUAAAUGUGCGGCGAGAUUUGUGCUCCCUGAAUAUUUUAUCACCGCAUGGCAGGAUUUACAAACUGCACGUGUCUUGUCGGUUGAGCCAUCUUUUCUUUGGAAUCCAAAGUGCUUCCAAACGAAUGACUUGAAGCCUAAAGGGGAGCAAAUCUCCUCGUCUUUUUGGACACUAGCCAUAGCACCAGCCCAGGAGCCGCGUACUAGUUGUCGACUCCCCUUUCACGUGCCUGCUCUGCUCACAACACAACAACGCCGGGCGCACUGCUCCCGGAAAGAGGAAGCAAGCAACAAUAAACUGGAUUUCAAAAUAAAGUUGCGUCUAAUGUCCGCGGGCAAACACGGCGAUAUAAAUCGAUGUUUACGUUUAGCAUCGAUGCCAAUAAAUCGUAGAGCAUUACCGUUUUUUUCCGUGUAUAGUGCGCCCCCAUGUAUAAUACGCACCCUAAAAAUGGCAUGCUGAUGCUGGAAAAAAGCCUGUACCCAUGUAUAAUACGCACCCAAUUUUUAUGAAUUUUUUUAAUGAAUUUUUUUAUUUUUAUUUUUUUAAGUCCCAAUGAUCGUCACACACGCAGGGAGGCAAUGGGUCCCAUUUUUAUAGUCUUUGGUAUAGUCUUAACUAGGCUGGAUGUAAUUUUUUUUGUGGCGUUGAUUUCUCCGACUGCCAGUAAACGCACCACCGCGCUCCGUGCGCGCACGGGAAAGAGGCGGCUCUGUAUGGGAGAGACGUUGAAGAGGAAUAAAAACACCCUUGGAAACCAAAACUUGCCCCUCGUCGUGACUCGGAGCCGCAACAAAUGUUUCGGAUUUGUAUAGGGUACAUUGUGACAGACAGCAAACGAGCAGGUGAUCGAGCAAGCGUCUGAUACGAGAGCAUUGCGGUCGUAUGGAGCGUGUUUGAAGUGAACAGCAGAGACGAAAGGAACAAGGCAAAGUGUUGUGAAAUAAAAUAUGACCGACCUGUAAUACGCAUUUUGUUAUUUGCUGAUUGAAACUGCUAAUUAAACUGUGAACUGAAACUAA